rnacentral:rRNA from 1 species
UACGGAGGGUGCAAGCAUUAAUCGGAUUUAUUGGGCGUAAAGGGCGCGUAGGCGGGGUUGUCAGUCAGAUGUGAAAUCCCGGGGCUCAACCCCGGAACUGCAUUUGAUACUGCAUCUCUUGAGGGUAGGCGGAGAAAACGGAAUUCCACAUGUAGCGGUGAAAUGCGUAGAUAUGUGGAAGAACACCGGUGGCGAAGGCGGUUUUCUAGCUUAUUCCUGACGCUGAAGCGCGAAAGCAAGGGGAGCAAACAGG